rnacentral:lncRNA from 1 species
UGGGUGGUGCUGCGCCCUUAGGAGGUGUAUGGUAGAGGAGCAGGACCUACAGCACAUGCGCGGAGUCCAGCCCCGGGCUGGCGGGCAACUGUCUCACCUGCUCACCUCGUGGCUUCGGCGGGCAGCUCCGGGACAUCGGGUCUUGGCGUCUUCACUCCCAGGAGAGCAGAUCCACCGCAUCAAGGGGAGCUGUGAAAACGGAAGGCAGAGCUGAGGAUGCCUGUGCCUGGGCCCUCCUACCGGGUGUCCGUCUCUGCGAGGGGGGAAGACGGGGGAGAGCGGCGCUGCCCCCACCACCUCCCGCGGGAAGGGGACGCUGCAGGUGCCCAUCACCCAGUGAGGGUGGCAUUAGCCUGGUGGCACCACCGAGCCGCCCCGCGACCCGCUGCUCCUGCCCCUGGCGAUCUGACGUUUCAGUUUCUUUCACUUAAAUUUCAAGGGCAGCAGUCACGUGUGGUUACCAGAGCGGACAGCCCAGAAGUAGAGCAUGUCAACCUCACAGACAGUUCCACGGGGCUGUUCUAGAGGGAGCAGGUCCGGGUCUGGGGACCAGGGAGACCCCGUGGAGAGGGGGGGACUCAGGAGCCUGCUCUGUCCAGCUCAGGCCUCUGACCCAUGUCCUCCUGAUGCCUCAUUCCUAGGAGACACAUGGACGCAUUCACAGGAUGGAAACAAUCCCGGCCCGUGGACAGAGCAUGUUUACAUUCUCAUCGGGGUCUCUGCAGCCUUUCUCCUUUGUCUCCUCCUCUUGGUCCUCCUCCUCCUCCAGCGCUGGCAUCAGAGGAAACGGGGGCCCCCCAGAAACAAAGGCAAGGAGCCAGAGCCCCAGGAGAGGUGAGGACUCUGGGAAUGACCCCUAGCCCCCCAGCCCUCCGCCUCCAGGCAGCCCUCAGGGCUCACUGUUCUUUCUCUGCAGGCUCAGCCCAGCUGUUGACGUCCUAGAUGGGACACCAGGUACAGACAAGGGUGGGACAGGUCUGGGAGGGGAAGGGGGCAUUCACUGCCAUCCAGGA